UGGGGAAUUUUGGACAAUGGGCGAAAGCCUGAUCCAGCAAUGCCGCGUGCAGGAUGAAGGCCUUCGGGUUGUAAACUGCUUUUGUACGGAACGAAAAAGCUUCUCCUAAUACGAGAGGCCCAUGACGGUACCGUAAGAAUAAGCACCGGCUAACUACGUGCCAGCAGCCGCGGUAAUACGUAGGGUGCGAGCGUUAAUCGGAAUUACUGGGCGUAAAGCGUGCGCAGGCGGUUAUAUAAGACAGGUGUGAAAUCCCCGGGCUCAACCUGGGAACUGCAUUUGUGACUGUAUAGCUAGAGUACGGCAGAGGGGGAUGGAAUUCCGCGUGUAGCAGUGAAAUGCGUAGAUAUGCGGAGGAACGCCGAUGGCGAAGGCGAUCCCCUGGACCUGUACUGACGCUCAUGCACGAAAGCGUGGGGAGCAAACA
rnacentral:rRNA from 1 species